rnacentral:rRNA from 1 species
GUACACUCCUACGGGAGGCAGCAGUGGGGAAUUUUGGACAAUGGGCGAAAGCCUGAUCCAGCAAUGCCGCGUGAGUGAAGAAGGCCUUCGGGUUGUAAAGCUCUUUUGUCAGGGAAGAAACGGUGAGAGCUAAUAUCUUUUGCUAAUGACGGUACCUGAAGAAUAAGCACCGGCUAACUACGUGCCAGCAGCCGCGGUAAUACGUAGGGUGCAAGCGUUAAUCGGAAUUACUGGGCGUAAAGCGUGCGCAGGCGGUUUUGUAAGUCUGAUGUGAAAUCCCCGGGCUCAACCUGGGAAUUGCAUUGGAGACUGCAAGGCUAGAAUCUGGCAGAGGGGGGUAGAAUUCCACGUGUAGCAGUGAAAUGCGUAGAUAUGUGGAGGAACACCGAUGGCGAAGGCAGCCCCCUGGGUCAAGAUUGACGCUCAUGCACGAAAGCGUGGGGAGCAAACAGGAUUAGAUACCCCGGUAGUCCCAUGAU